rnacentral:rRNA from 1 species
UACGUAGGGUGCAAGCGUUGUCCGGAAUUAUUGGGCGUAAAGAGCUCGUAGGCGGUCUGUCGCGUCUGCUGUGAAAACCCGAGGCUCAACCUCGGGCCUGCAGUGGGUACGGGCAGACUAGAGUGCGGUAGGGGAGAAUGGAACUCCUGGUGUAGCGGUGGAAUGCGCAGAUAUCAGGAGGAACACCGGUGGCGAAGGCGGGUCUCUGGGACGGUACUGACGCUGGAGACGCGAAAGCGUGGGGAGCGAACAGG